rnacentral:lncRNA from 1 species
GUGGGGUUCUGGAUUGCGGUAGCGCAUCUGAGGGGCGGGGGAAACUCUGAAACAGAGCAAGGUUUGGUGAGUGGCUGCAUUGAAAACGCCAUUGUGCUUUUUAGGUCAAAUUUAAAUAUUACAUAUCAAACUAAUCUAAUUAGCCGUGCAAUUUUUAAGGAUUUUGGAAACUGUGGGAAAUUGAUGAACUUCCAGCUUUGGUCAGCCAUUUGUUUAAGCGCAUCAUGCCCAUGGGAAAAUGUCGCAUAACAAAAACAGAGAAAGGAUUUUUUUUUUAACAAAGAGCUAAAUAUCUUUUUAGGAUCAAACAUCUUUGUGGUCAGAUCAAACAGCCAAAAACAGAAAGAAAAAGAAAGGAGAGACAGAAGAGAAAUUUCCACAGGAACUCACACGUACUGGAGAAGUAAAAUGAACUGCUUCUUUUUAAAUUCUCAAGCUCUUUCCAUUUGUUCUGCUACAAGCUACAUCAUUAAAUGUUUGAAAGUGGGAAGAUGUGGACAUGCUGUUUCUACAGACAGUAACCAUAGCCUGCCUGGUGUCUACGUGUCCACUCAUCAAAGAACAACGAAGAGCUAAUCCUGCUUCUAGUGCUUACGUAAGCCUUCUCACGCAGUCUUCACAAUUCUGAAGUCGACAUUAUUGUACUUGUUUCACACAUGAGGAUACAGGAUCUCAGAAAAAUUUUCAAGGACUACUUGCAUUCUCAACAAUUUCUAGAACAAUGGUGGAGUACACAGCUCUGGAGUGAGAGGGUAAAGAUAAAGGCUUAAAUUUUGACUCAGGCAUUUAUGUUGGGUGAUCAAGUUUGAGCAAAUCCCUGACCUUCCCACUGCCCCGGUGUUUGUAUCGGGGCCAUAAUAACAGCCUCUCAGCUCAGCUGAGUUUUAAAUGAGUUAAUACGUGUAACGCUCCUGGAAGAACGCCUGACAGAAUGAGCAGUUGCCAAAAUCCAGCUCUUUUAACUAUUUUCAGACACAGAUUAAGGGGACAUUUUAAAAGGUAACAUUUGAAAAUAUCUUUCGGUAUCUCACAGUAGAAGUUUAGAUAAGAUUCUAUGUAGUAAC